rfam:Ornithorhynchus anatinus chromosome 1, whole genome shotgun sequence.
CCCCUCUCUGGGCCAUACCUGAAGAGUUUCCAGUAUUCUACCAGUUUCGAAUAUGGGAGGGAGAGUCAAGCAGAGGCAUACCCAUUUCAUUCCUAGCUUGGGCAGUAGCUAGAGAGUGGCAGUAAAUCUGUUACAAGU